ensembl:snRNA U12 U12 minor spliceosomal RNA
AUGCCUUAAACUUAUGAGUAAGGAAAAUAACGAUUCGGGGUGACGCCCAAGUCCUCACUGCUAAUUAUGUGUUUUCCAUGAUGUCUCAAAGUAAAAGCUUU